rnacentral:piRNA from 1 species
UGCCUGGAUAUCUGGACACUGAAAUGGGUC